AUAAUAACAAUGUAGUCCAGGGUUGGUAACACCCAUGAAGAGCUCUUGGCAGAAGCAGAUGUGAAACCUCUUUGAACCUUGGUGGGCAUGUGCAUUCCCACUGAUAACACCCUGCUGAAGCUGAAUUCACAGCUCAAAAUUACAAAACAUAAGAGGAAACAAUCUUCAUGAAUGACAGUAAGCAGACACAGCAUAUAGCAGGAUUAGCUCCAACUCCAGAACUCCAGAGAAUAGCAUUAUUUGGCAAAGAACCAUACAGCAAGUGUGGUUUAAAUUUCUAAAGAUAUAAAAGAAGACAUCAAUAUGAGAAAGAAAUAAGAUGGUGUUAAAAAUGAGUGGGAUUCCGGUCAAUGAAUGCGUCUAAAAAAAAAAGUGAGCAGGAGAGGUUUAAAGUAAAAAGAAGAAACAGUAAAAUGAAUGUGUCUGUUAAUCUAUGAACUUAUUCAUUCCCCAUUCAUUAGGCUCCUAUAGUGUUUUAGACCAUGUUCUGGGUCUGGAAAUAUAAAGAUGACUCUGCAGAUAGCAAGUUAGACUCUGCCUCAGGAAGAUCGCAUGCAGAAAUCCAUGUAUCAAUGCAUCCAUUUAUCUAUACAUCCACUCAUCCACACAUCCAUUCUCUUCACCUAUCCAUUCUCCCAUCCAUCCAUCCAUCCAUCCAUCUAUUCAUCCAUCCAUCUGUCCGUCUGUCCAUCUAUCCAUCCAUCCAUUUAUUCAUCCAUCCAUCCAUCCAUUCAUCCAUCCAUCUAGUCUUCCAUCCAUUCAUUUAUUUAUCCAUCCAUCCAUCCAUCCAUCCAUCCAACCGUCUUUCAUUUUACUCACUGUGGGGGAAAGAAAGAGAGAUCUGACUGUUACUGUGUCUCUGUAGAAAGAAGAAGACAUAAGAAACUCCAUUUUGUUCUGUACUAAGAAAAAUUCUGCCUUGAGAUGCUGUUAAUCUGUAACCCUAGUCCCAACCCUGUGCUCGCAGAAACAUGUGCUGUGUUGACUCAAGGUUUAAUGGAUUUAGGGCUGUGCAGGAUGCACCUUGUUAAAAAUGUGUUUGCAGGCAAUAUGCCUGGUAAAAGUCAUUGCCAUUCUCCAUUAUCGAGUAUCUAGGGACAGAAUGCACUGCGGAAGGCUGCAGGGACCUCUGCCCAAGAAAGCCUGGGUAUUGUCCAAGGUUUCUCCCCACUGAGACAGCCUGAGAUAUGGCCUUGUGGGAAGGGGAAGACCUGACUGUCCCCCAGCCCAACACCGUAAAGGGUCUGUGCUGAGGAGGAUUAGUGAAAGAGGAAGGCCUCUUUGCCGUUGAGAUAAGAGGAAGGCAUCUGUGUCCUGCUCGUCCCUGGGAACGGAAUGUCUCGGUGUAAGGCCCGAUCAUACAUUCUAUUUACUGAGAUAGGAGAAAACUACCUUAUGGCUGGAGGUGAGACAUGCUGGCGGCAAUACUGCUCUUUACUGCUCUGAGAUGUUUGUGUAAAGUCAAACAUAAAUCUGACCUACGUGCACAUCGAGGCACAGCACGUUUCCUUAAACUUAUUUAUGACACAGAGACCUUUGCUCACGUUUUCCUGCUGACCCUCUCCCUACCAUUACCCUAUAGUCCUGCCAUAUCCGCCUCACUGAGAUAGUAGAGAUAGUGAUCAAUAAAUACUAAGGGAACUCAGAGACCAGUGCCCGCACAGGUCCUCCGUAUGCUGAGCGCUGGUCCCCUAGGCCCACUGUUCUCUCUCUAUACUUUGUCUCUGCAUCUUAUUUCUUUUCUCAGUCUCUUGCCCCACCUGACAAGAAAUACCCACAGGUGUGGAGGGGCUGGCCCCCUUCACUCAUUCUCAAAUGUCACAGCUAGAAAAGUCCCAAUAGAACAUCUUGUUCAACUUUCAGCUGUCUUUUUGUACAUGAAAAAAGCACAUGAGGCCCCAUAAUACAAAACUCUGUUUUCUGAAGUCUCUAAGUGAAUAAGGUGAUGGAGGCAGAUCAUGAACUGGGGCCUUGUCCCUGCAUUUCUUCCACACUGCAGUGCCUUUCCUGAACCCAUGGCAUGGAAGCAUCUGACCUCUGAACACCUGCCUGUAUCUUCUGUUUCUCUCAGGUCUGUUCACUCCUCGUGGGCAGAGUCCCCACAACCCAGUGCUGUCAACUGAUGGUGAUGAUAAGGAAUGUCAUUACCCAGCUCAUGAGUGAUAGAGAUGGGACAGGGCCCUGGUCUCUCCCUGGUGUCAGUUUUGUGUCCAUAUCUUAGCUCACCCCUACCUUUGUUCCCUACUCUGCCGCUAGAGAGACUGUGAGCUCCUUGAGGGCAGGGCCCAGGUCUUAUUCCUCCCCUCCCAGUGCCCAGCUCAGAAACAGUGCUUAGGAUGCUGGCCAGUGACUACACCUGGGAGAAGAGACUGGACUAGGCUCUCGGUCCCUCUGCCUGGGGUUUCUGGCUGCUCUGUCAACUUCCAACAUCCCAAAAAUCAGAGGGGAGGUCAAGGGAUUGGAUGAGAGGCUCCAAGUGCUCCUUAGCCCACUGUGCAGGGAGAAGUGAGUGUUUCCUGGCUGUGGGUGAACUUCGUGGACAGCAUUAAACAACACAGCAUCCCGCCCCCUGUGCGGGGCUGUCUGUCUGCCUUGGCACUUCCAGAAGGUCUCAUUGUGGUGCUAGAGUAUCUAACACUUUCUGACUUGCAGAUCAACAUUCCCUUUUCUUGUUAACAAAGAGCAGUGCCGGGCGCGGUGGCUCACACCUGUAAUCCCAGCACUUUGG
rnacentral:lncRNA from 1 species